AUGCCAUAAUGGGGACAUGCUAGGAUGUACUCCUGCAGCCUUUCCCAAGCUUCUGGGAUGGAUUCCAUCAUCUUCUGCUGGAAACUUGAAAUCUUCCCGCGGAGGGC